AUUGAACGCUGGCGGCAGGCCUAACACAUGCAAGUCGAGCGGCAGCGGGAAAGUAGCUUGCUACUUUUGCCGGCGAGCGGCGGACGGGUGAGUAAUGCCUGGGAAAUUGCCCAGUCGAGGGGGAUAACAGUUGGAAACGACUGCUAAUACCGCAUACGCCCUACGGGGGAAAGCAGGGGACCUUCGGGCCUUGCGCGAUUGGAUAUGCCCAGGUGGGAUUAGCUAGUUGGUGAGGUAAUGGCUCACCAAGGCGACGAUCCCUAGCUGGUCUGAGAGGAUGAUCAGCCACACUGGAACUGAGACACGGUCCAGACUCCUACGGGAGGCAGCAGUGGGGAAUAUUGCACAAUGGGGGAAACCCUGAUGCAGCCAUGCCGCGUGUGUGAAGAAGGCCUUCGGGUUGUAAAGCACUUUCAGCGAGGAGGAAAGGUUGAUGCCUAAUAUGUAUCAACUGUGACGUUACUCGCAGAAGAAGCACCGGCUAACUCCGUGCCAGCAGUCGCGGUAAUACGGAGGGUGCAAGCGUUAAUCGGAAUUACUGGGCGUAAAGCGCACGCAGGCGGUUGGAUAAGUUAGAUGUGAAAGCCCCGGGCUCAACCUGGGAAUUGCAUUUAAAACUGUCCAGCUAGAGUCUUGUAGAGGGGGGUAGAAUUCCAGGUGUAGCGGUGAAAUGCGUAGAGAUCUGGAGGAAUACCGGUGGCGAAGGCGGCCCCCUGGACAAAGACUGACGCUCAGGUGCGAAAGCGUGGGGAGCAAACAGG
rnacentral:rRNA from 1 species